rnacentral:rRNA from 1 species
UAGGGAAUCUUCCGCAAUGGGCGAAAGCCUGACGGAGCAACGCCGCGUGAGUGAUGAAGGUCUUCGGAUCGUAAAACUCUGUUAUUAGGGAAGAACAAAUGUGUAAGUAACUAUGCACGUCUUGACGGUACCUAAUCAGAAAGCCACGGCUAACUACGUGCCAGCAGCCGCGGUAAUACGUAGGUGGCAAGCGUUAUCCGGAAUUAUUGGGCGAAAAGCGCGCGUAGGCGGGUGUUUAAGUCUGAUGUGAAAGCCCACGGCUCAACCGUGGAGGGUCAUUGGAAACUGGAAAACUAGAGUGCAGCAGAGAAGAGUGGAAUUCCAUGUGUAGCGGUGAAAUGCGGAGAGAUAUGGAGGAAGACCAGUGGCGAAGUCGGCUUUCUGGUCUAUAACUGACUCUGAUGUGCGAAAGCGUGGGGAUCAAACAGG